GUGGGGAAUCUUGCGCAAUGGGCGAAAGCCUGACGCAGCCAUGCCGCGUGAAUGAUGAAGGUCUUAGGAUUGUAAAAUUCUUUCACCGGGGACGAUAAUGACGGUACCCGGAGAAGAAGCUCCGGCUAACUUCGUGCCAGCAGCCGCGGUAAUACGAAGGGGGCUAGCGUUGCUCGGAAUUACUGGACGUAAAGGGCGCGUAGGCGGACAGCUUAGUCAGAGGUGAAAGCCCAGGGCUCAACCUUGGAAUUGCCUUUGAUACUGGCUGUCUUGAGUUUGGGAGAGGUGAGUGGAACUCCGAGUGUAGAGGUGAAAUUCGUAGAUAUUCGGAAGAACACCAGUGGCGAAGGCGACUCACUGGCCCAAUACUGACGCUGAGGCGCGAAAGCGUGGGGAGCAAACAGGAUUAGAAACCCCUGUAGUCC
rnacentral:rRNA from 1 species